ACCCGACCCCUCUUCCCGCACUCAUUCUCUCUCCACCCCUCUCGCGAUCCUCUUCUCCACUGCGCCGCCGCCGCCGCCAGCUGUCGUCCCGGCUGGUACCUGCCGCAUCCGCCGCCACCGUCGACCGGUGGAACUCCGGAGUCUCUCCUCUACUACUUUCUCCGCCGCCACGAUGUACGCCCGUGCCCGCACGCGCUGCUACGUGAAACCCUAGCUUAGCAGCUUGGGCUCGCCGGCGCUGCUCUGGACCCCUCCCGCUGAUACCGGCGCGGACAUGGGACCACCGGCGCUGCUCCGUGACGUCGCCAUGGACCCCUCUGCUAGAUCCACGCCUCCGCGCUACCCUACAUCACCCAAGCGCGCGUGCCCGCGGAACCCUAGCCGUGGAGCUCGGGCUCGCGACAUGGUGCCCGCGCCUGCGCCCCCACUACUCCCCCUCGUCAACCACGAGCUUCCCUGCUUUCCUAUGCUCCUGCUACCCCGACGUCGACGACUACCAGAUGUUGUUGUCGCCUGGUUGGCCGGGGCUUCCCCACCAUGGUGCGGUGGUAGGCUGCGGUUGCCCUCUCCUUUUGUUCAGCGACCUCGAUGGCUUCACCGCGGCCACAACUACCACUACGAGCUAUUUCUUCUCCCUUCUAUAUUGAGCCUGCAGCAUAAACUCUAUAUUUUGAAUUGACUAUACACUAAUACACAUCUCUAUACAUAGGGCUGACUUACCAAGUGCAGAUGUAAUAUUGUAGUUGUAGUAGUCCAUAGGGCGGAGAUUCUGAUUAUUUGCCUAAUUGUCACAUUGGUGCUUUGUAUCGAGAUCAGUUCACAUCUGUGUUGUGCAUAGCACACUUCAAGCGUGCAACUGUCUCUAACUGGUCCUGCUCUAGGUUUCAUACACAUUAUCUGAUAUAGUUGGAUUUGAUGCUGAGACGUCCUGGAGUCCUUGUAUUCUGUAGCAUGCUGGGGGAGACACAGAAUCAGUAGAAAAAACCUACACUGUGUGCUUGCUAAAUUACAAUGGAUAGAGAACCACACGUGCAUAAGCUGAUAGGUCUACUUUUGUUCAGACUAUCCAAAUAACCAUCUAGCCCUUGUCCUAGAACUGAUAUGCAUCCAUUUUUAGUCAGGUGGUCCCCCUUUCCCUGCUUCCCUAUGUUCCUGCUACCCUGACGUCUAUUGCUUCAACAGAUGCAUCCCUUGUAAUUUGAAGUUAUCUCUCUUGAUGCAAGUGUUGGUGAUGCAUAUUAACUUGACCUCAGCAUAUAUUUUGGUUAAGAAGUGUCAUCAAUUUUCUUAUAGUCCAUUGUAGUGGUUGUUCAAAUUAAGAAGGUCCUAUUUGCCAUAGCUGAGAAAUACAUAAAAUGAACUAAUGGAAGACAAUACCUCCCCAGUCCUCUUAAAAUAAAAACAAGAAUGAAAACUUUGUUCAUAUAUAUGCUUCUGUGUUCUGGAUCUUAUGCUAGCUGGCAGAGCUUGUUGAGGUUGUCACUUAGCUAGGUUGGCUUGUGUAGAAUUAACAUGCGAUUGGGGAUAGUACUUCAGAUAUUGGUUGUUUUUAACUGAAUUGGGGAUUAGUGAUACUUUGUAUGAUCAUUUCAAGUAGAUGUCCCAAUGUAAAGCGCACUGAUUUCAUAUUAUCCAUCUAAACAACAUCCUGCUUCUUUAUUAUCUUAUAUGAACUGCUUCAAAUCUGAUCUUUAAUAGUAGUUCCGAUGGAUCCGAAUUUUCUCAAUUCUAUGUUCGAUGUUUACUGCAGGAACCUACUUUAGUAUUUUUCUCAGGGUACAUGCAUUAGUUUUCCAUAAAAGGCUGGAUUACUAGAAGCAAUUAAAUGAGCGCUGGAUAAGCAAAAGUGAGAUUUUGCUACCCCUUGUACAUUGCAGGCCAUGGACGCAUGUAUUCUUUCACUGAGCCUGUAGGUAUAUUUCCCAACUCAGAUAUAGCCCUUUUGAGAGAAUGUAUGUGUGAACAUGGCAGUCAUACCUGAUUUACGGUUUAUUAACCCAUUUCUAUAUGUUCUUCCAUUUUUUAUUCCAACAUCAAGUAAGGUAGUUUCUGCAAUCCUAGAAUAUCAUUUUUGAAAAUACUAACGCAAUUCUGAUUUCUGUAGAGUAUUACUUCAACGACGACAAAUGCUUUCUUGGUGAUAAUUUUUUAUUUACAUCCUUUUGGGUAACUGUAGAUGGUAAUUUGCGCCAAUCACGUAGUGACGCGUAUGGCAGUUUCCCUGUAUGGUAAUUUGCGCCAAUCAUGUAGUGAUCGGUGUGGAGGGUAUACCCCUGUCGUGGAGGUGCUGCCGGCUCCACCUUGGGCUGCGGAGCUGGAGUUCUACGGAGAGUGGCGGCGCGACGAACGCGAGUGCUUACCUCGCACCGGCCAUGCCUUCUCCUCCUACCUUCCGCGGAGCCGAAGUCUGAUGGCGAGCCGGGGACAUGGCUCCUUCUCAUUGGUCUUCGCCCGACGGCGAGCCGGGGACAUGGCUCCUUCUCAUUGGUCUUCAUGUGUGGUGGAUGUGCUCCAUGGCCAGGUCAAGAGGACUGGACUCCCGAGGCUGAGAAAUUGUCCCACCAUGGUGCGGUUCCCGAUGUCCAUCGAUAAAGUGAGAACUGCAAGAGCUAGCAGCAGAUCAGCUAUCUUUGCGUAUAUGUUUAGCUGCUAACCUGUGGACUUGGCAUAUGUGUUUAGGUACUAACCAUGGUGCACGUAUACUAUUUCUUUUUCUUGAUUUUGAGUGAUAAUACAAUGAUUUAAGUGCUAACCUGUGGAAUUUGCUUAUGCUUUAUUGGUGACUCAAUGUAAGGGUUUCACUAUUAAUUUCUACUACAACCUAGCCGAUAGAGAUGGGCGUAGAGGGAUUAGAGGGCACCCUGAUGUUGAUCGCCACAGUUGCCUCAUAAUCCAUAUAUUCAAAGGUCAAGAUGGUUGUUUACAUCAGGUGGAGGAACAGACAGACAGCUCAUUUUAUUUGUUCUUCAGGUAACUCUGACUACUCAGUGAAAAAAAGAACUUCUUAAUGCUCAAUGCAAUUAUGUACGGAAGAGGGAUCAAUAAUUUAAGUAUUGUUUUGUUCAGUUCAAUAUCGAUGCCAGCUUUCAUUAUUUCCCAAAAUAUUUGUAAUGUGUCAACUACCUAACAAGCUAAAAAAGUUUCUAGAAGGUAUCUCUUCUUUCUUUAAGAAUUUUCCCUAUCUAUCGUUGCGUUUGGAAAAUUGAUUAGUGUUGAGAUGAUUCAUAUGUGCAUCUAAAUUGUUUUCAUAGAUUCUAUAUUCACUUGCUAUUUGCAAUGCAUCAAGUUUUUGGUAGCAAGGUGGAAUCAAAUCCGACUAAUCCACCUUUUUGUUUAUAUGUAGAAUUGUAGAUUCUAAGUAGUGUGCUUCAGCAGGUACCUACUAUGCUUAUAAGUUGUUUCGAAAAUCAUUCCAGGUAAAACUAAUGCUUCAGUGAUGUCAAUAUCUAACCUUUACAUUAUCGAGAGGUAAAAGGGAAAUGCUAAAAAAUUCUGAAUAGGGCAUCGAUUUAAUGUUGUAUAGUUGUGUAGUUGUUGUUCUUUCCAUAGUAUUCUAUCAUGUAUACAUAAGAUCAUUGCAAUACUUUUACAUCACUUUACAAUUGUCACACAUCGCUUGGAGGUUUUACUUGGGCAUGCUUCUAUCCCUCUCCUUCACCUCACCAUGCCUCAACCGUUACCUGAUUGCUCAUAUGUAGAUUUCCAAGAUAUACUGAACCGCUCCUUGCUUUAGAACGCAAGUAUUAAGUUUAUGUGUACCUCUUCUUACAGCCAGCUCGGUCAUUUUUUCUGUAAGGAGUGGGUCAACUUAGAAAAACAAUUUGUUCCAGAUUAUUUUUGUUUGUUAUUGUUCUCUUCAAUUGUUCAUGCCAUAAUUUUUGCCCAACUCUUCUGAAUUCUGCAAGGAGUUGGUCAACUGAGAAGAAAUCAUGGUGCCUGGGGACUACUUUUAUAUGUUAGUUCUUUUUGUCAGCCCGGUGUUCAGGCCCGCCAUUCUUGUGUUCCUGUUGUAGACUUAAACUAGAAAUCACAGACAUACAUAAUUCGUUUCUAUUCUUGAUUUUCUAUUGCUAUGACAUUGCUUUCUAUCUUGGCCAAACUUUUUAGUGUCUUCAUGUUCUGGUUCGUCUUGCCUUGACAAAACCUGUGAUGUAAGGACUGAGGAUAGGACUAUAAGGCUAUGUGUAAUUAGUCUAUUUCAAUCAAUCCAUGAGGCCAGAGUCGCCGGGUGAUUGACACAUCUUAGAAAGACAGGCUGCUGCAAUUCCUUGACCAAUUUCUAUUAUUCUAUGACUAUUGGAGAAAUCUGAAGCCUAUAUAUGUGUGCAGCAGAAUGAAUUAAAAUGACAUCCGCUUUUUUUCUUGCAAGGAUUAAGAAUUCAGUUCCUUAUGUAUAUAUUUUUGCGCCAUAAACAAUCUCACUAACAAAAGAAUUGGGACUGAUCCAUCCUACUAUCCAUUCCUAGCGUUUCAUUUAAUUGGUUUUCGAUGUAAGACGUGUAAAGUAGCUUAGUACCUCUGAUUAUCAGUACUGAUUAUUUCUCACUCCAUAUUUUCUCUGUAAUGUGUCACAGAGAGAGAGAGGCUUAUGGAUGCUGAUACCUCUUUAAACUGGUGUGAAGCACUCCCCUUUGUAAGCUAUCCUCUAAUUUAUUAUUUGAUGUUGAAUUCUCUAUGCUAUUUCCAGUGUGCAGAUAGUUUUACAUUGUUUUGGGUCAGGCAGACUUGGAGCAUGUUUGUGAAUUUAUUGACUCAAAUGUACUCAUUCGCGUAUGAGUUAAAGCUAUGGAAUGACUAUGCUUUCUUUCUUUAUAUUGAUAUUGAUAUGGAUUUCUCCUUUUAUAUCGUUGUAUAUGAUGCUAUCUGUUUCAGUGGUGGGAUAGAUUCAUAGGGAAGAAUUAGAGCUUAUCCAACGACAUCUGAAUCUGGCCCUUUCAUCAAUUAUAGAACCCAGGUUGUUUGAUUGGAACUUGCAGAGAAAGAUGUUUGUUUCUUCCUAGACACAAAAUGAUCUGGAAAGAUGCUUGUUUCUUCCUAUACUCCAGUCACCCUGUAAUAUACUUGAAUAGAAAAGACACAUUUCUGUGAAGAAAAGAGAGGAGGAAAUUGGGAAAGCCUGCUAAACCAUCUGAAUUGGGGAAGGUUCUUCUCAUCCCAGUGGUGAUAUAAAAUGUUAACCGUCUAUAGAUAUUAACUUCUGUUGUCAGCUGUGAUUACUUGCUCCUUUCUUUGUAUAGAAUAUAUGUGAAAAAUCAAGAACUUAACCUCAGGUUUCAGAUAGAUAAUAAUUGGACCUUAUAACGGUAUCAUCUUGUUGAUUUAUUACCCCCAUGCACUUCUGUCCGCACCUGCUGUAGCAGAUGCUACUAAUUCAGUAUGUUCAUGUAGAUGCACUUAAUCAGAGAGCUCAUCAUUAUGUUAUACUGCACUGAAUGAACAAGAUACUACACACCCAUAGAAACUUAAGAAAAGCAAAGCAUUCACUAGAGAAUCAAUCAAUGAGCUUGCACAAUUUCCCUAUUUAUGUGGAACUAUCACUCAUGAGGUGAUUACUAAAGGUAGAUAAGGGCUCAACAAAUUCCCUAUUUGUGUGAGCAGCCAUUGCUCUAUGAAAAUCCGUUGUACUGCAAUUUGUAACCUCUUGGUUGGGUUUAAUGAACAUAGACCUCUGGAUUCUGUAUUCUGUGAAAUUCUUGAUAAUUUAGAACCUCUGACAGGAGUUUUGUCCACCUAGUUUAAGGAACAUAAGCAUAUUGGAUGUCGCAUCGAAUCUUAUUUUGCACCUUGAAGCUAUUAUUAGUCCCUUUGUCUGAGUUGUUGUUAACCUGAGCUAUUGCAUCAGUUUUGGUUCAUCUCGCUGAAAAAUCAACUUUAUUUGCAACAAAUCUCUUCUCCUUCGAAGACUUACCGUGCCAAUUAAUCAUGAUCUCGUUGUAUUUUUGUCUUGGGAUCUAACCAUGAAGUUCUCCAAGGAGUACCAGAAGCAUAUGACCGGCAUGGAGGAAGAUCUUCCUGCUCUGGGGCUGGAGCGCCUCAAAAAAAUGAUCAAGAAAUGCCAGGCUACGCCCUGUUCCCCGCAGGGCCUCGGCGACGAGAGAGACGUCGCCGUCCCAGGAGGUAGCCAGUGCUCUGGGGCUAGCCAUUGCUAUGGAAUGGGUUCCAGAAGAUUGACAAGAUCAAGGACUCUAACAGGCAGUCCAAGCAGAUGGAGGAGCUCACUGGGAAGAUGAGGGAGUGCAAGCGCUUAAUCGCAGACCUCGCAGGUGUUGGUGACGCCCUUGCCAGGCCUCGGCUGCGGCCGUUCGUUCAGGAACACCACGCACUUUCUAUUGAGUGGAGGCCGGUGGGGCGAGGCAGAGCGGGCAGCAAGGGAGCUGCUAGAUGCAGGGGCCGGUGGGGGAGCUCGUCUCUGCUCCAUGGAGGCCCUGCCUCCUCUGCUUCUGGUUCUGGAGGCCCCGCCUCCUCUGGUCCUGGAGCGGUCGCGGUCCUGGAGCGGUCGCGGACGACCGGCGUGGGCGUGGUGUGGGCUCACCGUCGACGUCGAGCGCGCGAUUCCAGCUCCGGCGCGGCGCCGGACGGGGACAGAGCUCCGGCGCGGGGACGUGGACGUCGGGAUCAAGAUUGAUUUUGAUUUGAGGACCACAGCUGAGAAGAAUUGAACUCGCGAGGGGGUUUUCACAAAAUGAUAAUUGAGCAUAGGCCGAGUCAUCUAAAUCGGGCCGAAGGGAGUACAACUUUUAGUUGAAAAUCUGAUAUUUAAAAUGCUGUGAAGUUACAUGUAUUACAGAUUUGUUAUGAUGUGAUAUAUAGACUUCUGGAUUAUGUAUA